UGAUAAGAGCGAGACUCUCUCAAAAAAAAAAAAAAAAGUUAAAAUGGCAAAUUUUGUUAUAUAUACCUUGCCAUAAUUUUUAAGACUUUAAAGAAAUUAAUUCAAAAGGAGUUAAGAUUCAAACAUAAAAGCUAAAAUUACAAACUUCUAGAAGAAAACAUUGGAGAAAAUCUUCAUGAUCUUGGGAUGGGCACAGAUUUCUUGGACAGAAUGAGUGAGUACUAACUAUAAAAACUCACAAAGAACAUCAAAAUUAAGACCUUCUGCUCUCUGAAAGACAUCCUUCCAAAAAGGAAAAGACAAGCUGGAGAAAAAUAAGUCACAAUAUAUAUAGUGAUGCAUCACUUAACAACAGAGAUACCUUCUGAGAAAUGCAUUGUUAGGCGAUUUCAUCAUUAUGUGAACAUCAUGGAGUAUACCUGCAUAAACCUAGAUGGUAUAGCCUACCACACACAUAGGCUAUAUGGUAUUGUAUAGCCUAUAGACUGCUUCCAGGCCGCAAACCUGUAUAGCAUGUUACUGCAUUGAAUACUGUAAGCAACUGUAACACAAUGUUUUGGAAGUCUUCCACCAAAUGUCCAAAGAAUUAACCUGUGAGUCACAUCAGAGAAGUACACCUCACGUGGACCAUCCAUGUACAUCAGUGCUUGGUUCCCACAGAGGCACGGAAGCGCAUCCGUGGAAAUCCAUCCCUUCCGACUUCCUUACACCUAUACAAAAGCCUGCAUUUGAUGCCCAGGACUCCAGAUCAGUACAUUCUGUGACAACUAAGGCACAGUGGAACAAGAAGGGCCCAACCACAUAAAGCUCCAGGAGAGUAGGAAUUAGUCUUGCUCUCAAGGACAUUCCUGGCACCCAGCAGAAUACCUAGCCUAGUAGGCAACAAAUGAAUACUGGAUGAAUAAAUCUAUGAAUCCAUCAAGAAGCAAGCUUGAGAAUGAGGCCAAAACACAGAGGAAGGCAAAAGAGCAAUGAAGCUGAGCAAAUACACCAGACUACCCAACUCUGAAACCCAUCCAACCUCUGGACUUCAUUGUUGUGAGUCAAUACAUUUACCUAACAUUUAAACCACUCAGAGUCAAAAUUUCUGUUACUUGUAGUUCAGAGUACCCUAACCUAUACAUCUAGCCUGGCCAUACACCUACUUGUCUGUCCUUGAGGAAGCUACUGAGCUUCACGUAUCUGUAAAAAUGGCCAAUAAGAAAGUCCUCCACAUCGUCCACUGCUAUCACCCCUCCAAUCUGUUAUUAUUUCUUGCUUUUUUUGACCACAACAGUCUCAUAAUUGGUCUUUUUGCUGCAGCCCUUGCCUCCACUGUCUACUCUCAAUAUACCAGUGGAGUACAGAAAUGAAAUGAAAUUUGGCUGUGGUUAUAUGACUAGAACAUGGCAGAACUGUAAUUUGAACAAAAUAGACAAGGUCUUUGCUGUCACGGAACUUCUAAAUGCCCUAUUUACUAUUCUGCUACCUCCCCAAGAAACUCUGCGGAAAAACCUGGAGGUAUCAAAGUAGGCUGUGUCUUAGCUGAUCUUCUGGAAAAGUUUUAGGAAAUCUAUUUCACCAGAAAGCAAUUAGCGAAGCCAAAUAUUUAUUUGGAUUUUCACCUUCAAAUCUGAGGUUACCCAGUAGAUUACCUGUACCACCAGGCACACUUUACCUUUGUGUGUUUAUUUAUAUAAAUCUAUUAAUAAAACUUACCUUUAAAUCUUUAUAUUAUAAUGUAACUAUUUAAAACAAAUAAUCUAAACUGCUGCUUUUCAAGCGUUAGCUCUGUUUUGGAAUGUUCCAAAGCAAUCUUCUGGAGAAUGAACCUUAAAGUUUAUUUUUUAAAAAUAGGCAAAAUA
rnacentral:lncRNA from 1 species